GGUCAGUGAUGUAAAGUAAAAGGUCUGAUGCAUGGUUUCUUUACCCAUCCAAGCCUGGGCUCCCAGUUGCUAUUCUCAUACUGUUUCCAAUAUGCUGAAAGCUUGCAUUUUGGUGUAGAAUGGCUACUGACAUUUUAGAUAAUCUCUUUCUCAUGUCUGAGCACCGGUAAGAUUCUGGAGCUUUGAACAAUGAAGAUUAUCUUACAUUUUAAAGUAGUAAGGAGGACUUUGGCUUUGGGCAUUUGACCUGCAUGUGAUAUCAAGUUUUCAAGCUGAGACC
ensembl:scaRNA